rnacentral:lncRNA from 1 species
GCGGAGGAGGGGGAGGCAUCGGGCGAGGAGGGCGCAGAGGUGGACUUCGAUCGGGGAGUCGGGGGGGAGGUCGGAGAGGGAGAUGGAGGGGAGGGAGACGGAGGUGACGGAGCCGGAGGGGAGGGAGGCGAGGAAGGCGGCCUGCGCCGGGGAGUCGAAGUUGGAGAAGGUGAGGAGGGUGGCGGAGAAGCCGUGGGCGGCGAGGCGAACGGCAAAGUCCGCCAGCGGGAUCACGUGGCCUAUUCCCGGCGCCGAGAGCAGGACCACGUGAGGUCGCCGGCUUUCAGCAUUCAUAUAAUUAAUGUGGUAAUAUUUGUUUGGACUGUCGUGCAGUACAAAAUAGAGAUAUAGAUAUGUAUCAACAGAAAAAGGGGAGUUUGAGUUGUGUUGUGUUUGUAAGAUUUUGCAGAAAGCUUCUCAUCAAUUACGGGAAAAAAGUGUGGGCGAUGUUCUCUGGUCAGUCGUCUUUGGCUCCAUGCGUUGUGGAUGUGUUUGGUGGUGCAUUUCUUUCCCAAUUUAAUAAUACAUAAAUAGAAUAGUAAAUUUUAUUUUUUUGAAUAUUUAUAGCAUUUUAGAAAGCAAUAUGUUACAUAAGUCAAAAAGUAUCAAACACAGCUGGUCAGAGUUGGUGCUGAACUGCAACUCUUGAGGAAAAAGACAAGUGCGAAAUUAUAUAAAAAAACCUUAAUAUUUAUUGAGGAUCUGUCUUUUCUUUUAAAAAAAAUGUAGAAGAGACAAAUGAAAUCCUCAGCAAUCAGAGCAAGUGGUCAAACAAGCCAUUUUGAUGGCACAGCAAAUCUAUUCAGUCGACCGAAUCAAUAUGAUGAACUUCUAAAAUUAAUAAAGCAAUUAAUUUUUAAAUUUAGAAGUCAUUGAUUAUCACUUUUUUAAUAAGUGUAUAUUGCAAUCUACAUUAAUUUAGUUGAUUGUAAUAUAAAAAUAGUAUUGUAAUAUUAUGAUCGUUGAUGCGCCAAAAAUUAUAAUAUUACAUCAUUUUUAUUUUAGCAGUAUAUUAAUAUUUAGUUAGAUAAAUUUAGGUACCGGACUUGGCUACUUGGUUUGUACUUAAUUCCAUACCAUUUGUUUGUUUGUUUGUUUUUUUUUUUGGAAUGUUACUUCAUCCCCUCUUUUGAUGUUGACUAUUGUCAAUUUGGCUUAAAUUAGCGUGCCAUAUCACUAAGAGAAUCUUAUUGAAGAAACAAUGGUCACAUAUGACGUAAUUAUAGUCAAAACAAAAAAGCUUUUAUAUUCUUAGGAAAUUACUUAUGUAAUAUUCGAAUUACCAUCCAAAAGGAAAAGAAAAAUUAACCACACAUUUUUCUGGUCCAAGUGGCUUGACAUUUUCAAAUAUAGUUUCCAAAUUUAUUUACUUUAUAAAAAAUAUUUACGCGUAAUAAGUUGACCUGAGAAACAAACUAAUCAUUGAGUAUACUAACAUUCUUGCGAAAUUAAUACAAAUGACACACGAAAUUAACAGAUAGCACGAUGCAUACUAAACAAACUAUUAAUAUAAAUGACACGCGAAAUUAACAGGUGAUACAAUGCAUACUAUGAAAAAAAUUAAUUCGACAAAAAAUUAUAAUUGAUAAAAACAAUUAUUCACAAAAAUAUAGAUUUGAUACUUUGUUUACUUUUACGCAGCACAAGAAAAUAAAUAGAUAAACCUAAGUAAUAGAUAAACCUAGUUAUCCAAAAGCCGACCAAGAGGUAGGGAAGUUCCAGUCCCCUAUACAAACUUAAAUUUGGGACUCUGUACGCUUGUAUGGGUUUAUUGUAUAACGGCGUGUUUGGUAAAAUGGAUCGACACUUCAGUAAAGCCACGAGUUCCGUCUGUAUGGCAGAGCUCGACUUUGAGUUCGCAUAGAGCGCGAACUUGUUGAUUUGUGAGACGAAUUCGCACGUGCAGGCGGAGUAGGCCCCAUGGAAGUCGAGCUCUGUCGUUUCGUCCAAACGUUGGCGAAUUUCUGUUACGAGAACUAUGCCACUUCGACCUCGAAUGUGAUCAAAACAAAUACACUCUAAGUUGUUUUUUUUUUAGAGAGAGAGAAAAAUAGCAUACUAUCUGUUCCGUUUAUUUCUUUUAAAAUAAAAAAAUAAAUUUAGCUGAAAAUGUGAAAUAAUUAGAUUUCGAACUUACAAUCUCAAGUAUCAACCACUAAAUUUUUCACCACUUGCAAUAUGGCCAGAGGUCAGUACACUCUUAAGUUGUGGAAAGGAUUGUUUGUGCCACUCAUAGACACACAAAAAAAAGGAUUAAGGGAUAUUUUCGGUCGGGCCGGACUUUCGAGAGCGACACCCGAACCCGGCUUGUUUAUGUUUCGAGCGGGGCUUUGGGCUGGGCUGAGGCUCCAACAGCCCAGCUCAAGCCCACCCGUUAAGCUCCAAACUCGGACUUUCUUAAUUUUCUUGUUAUUUUCAAAAAAGAAAAAAAAAACCAUCUACUUACCCUAUCAGAAAUCAAAUUUGAUUUUAAAAUAAUUGAACUAUACUUUGCAGAUAGGAGUUUGUAUGUAGCACUGGACAAUUAAUUUCUGACAAAGUUAGAGUACAUUUAGACUAUGCAAAUCCAGUGAUAUUUUUCCUCCUGUUUUGUCCGUUGAUAAGAUUCUUGUACCCUUCAAUUUUGGCUUUUACCUAUCUUAUCUUAUCAAUACCAAUAUAUUAAAGUGACGGACCGUCCCUAUCGUAAGUGGCAAAAGAUUUGGUGGUUGGUAUUCAAGAUUUCAAGUUCGAAUCUGUCUUGAUUUAUAUUUUCAGAUAAAUUUAUUUUAAAUAAAGUAAACAAAAUGAAUAACAUUCUACCUAUCUCUCUCUCUCUCUCAAAAAAAAAAAAAAAAAGGCAUUACAGGGCUACAUACAUGAAAGGAUAAUCCAAACCAUGUGAACAGCAGAGGCCCUCCUCGCUCCCCCCUCUCUCAGGUGGGUCACACUUUUUUUUUUUUCCCCCCCCCUCUCUCUCUCUCCUCUCAUCUCUCUCUCUCUCUCUCUCUCUCUCGUCUCUCUCUCUUCUCUCUCUCUCUCUCUCUCUAGAGAUGUCAACGGUCGGAUUCGGGCGAAUUUUUAAAACCCGAACCCGAACCCGACUCCAAAAACCCGAGACCCGAACCGACGGAUUUUAAAAUUCAUAUCCAAACCCGAACCCGACCAAAAUCGAAACCUGAACCCGAACCCGAAAAUUUGAACCUGAAAUAAUUAUUUCUUUUUUCAAUAUUUCAAAAUAUAUUAUAUUAAAUUUAAAUUUUUAAAAUACAAAUUCAAAUAUAACAUCAAUUUUUUAUAUAUAUAUUAUAUAUAAUGCAAAAUAAAUUCGGGUUCGGGUCGGGUUCGGGUCGGGUUCGGGUUCGGGUCGGGUACAAUCAAAAUCCAUAUCCGAAUUCAUAUCCGUUAGAUUUCUAUUUUUGAUUUCUAUAUUCGAAUCCAUAUCCAUAUCCAUCAGAUAUAUCCGGGUUCGGGUUCGGAUAAAAUUUCGGGUAUCCAUACCCAUUGACAUCCCUACUUCCUUCACCCUUUCUUUUUCUUUUUUUUUUCUCUCAACAUUUUUUGUUUACUUUUGCCUAUAUUACGUGUAAAAUUUUAUCGCAUAAACCAAUUCUAUUUUUUAAUUGUCAAUAUAACAAAAUUAAAAUUUUAUACGGUAUAAAAAAAUUGCACACCGAGUGUAUAAGACAUGCUCAUAUACAAUUUAUAAUUUGAAUUUUUUAUUUUUGCCUAUAUCAAGUGUAAAAUUUUAGCGCAUGGAGCAAUUCGAUCUAUUUUUUAAUAGCCUUCUCAAGGGUGAGGCCCACUUUUUUUUUCUCUCUGUCACACCCUAUACUUUUUUUCUUUUUUUUUUUUUCCUCUCAACACCUUUUCUUUUUUUUUUAUACCAAAUUUAAAAUUUUAUUGUAUGGAUCAAUCCUAUUUUUUAAUAGUCGAUAGUUUACGGCAGCCACCUCAAAUAAAGAGGUGGGCUCACUCCACUACUCUCUCUCUCUCUCUCUCUCUCUCUCUCUCUUACACACACACACACACACAUACACACACUAUACAAUUUUUUUUUUUUUCUCCCAACACUCUUUCCUUUUUCUUUUUUUUUUUGCCUACGCCAAGUGUUAAAAAAAUUAUACACCGAGUGUAUAAGACAUGCAUAUGUAUUAUAUAAGAUAAAGUUUAGCUUUCUAUCUAUCUAGCUAUAUCCAUACACCCUACAUACUAUACACCCUACACCCCUACAACCGUAUAAUCCUGUUUUUUAAUAGUAGGUAUAAUAAAAUUAAAAUUUCAUACUGUAUAAAACAAGUUGUACAUCGAGUGUAUAAAACAUGAUCGUAUACACACAUGCUUUUGACAGUAUCAAAGAGAACCUAUAUAUUUUGGGUUAAAAUUUUUUUGUACGUAUAAAAAUGCAUAUAUUUGAUUUAAAAAUAUACAAUAAAUGAAAUAACUAGGAAACAGAAUCUGGUCGAAUACUUUGUCAUAAUAAAAGUAGAUUAUACAUGCAUGAAAGUUGUGUGUAUUCGGUAGUUUGUACAGGAUAACAAAAAAGGACCCUCAUAUUUCUGGUAAAAAUACUCUAUUUUUUAAUAGUCGAUAUAAAAAAUUAAAAUUUUAUACGGUGUAAAAAAAUUAUACACAAAGUGUAUAAGACAUGCUCAUAUACAAUCUAUAAUUUAAAUUUUUUUUAUAUUUUUGCCUAAAUCAAGUGUAAAAUUUUAAUAUAUAUAUCAAUAAUUUUUUUUAAUAAUCUCUUCAAGCAAAGAGGUGGGGCCCACUUUUUUUUCUCCCAAUUACCCCACAUCCCUUAUUUUAUUUUAUUUUCUCUCAACACCUUUUUUUUUAUUUUUUCCUACACCUAGUGUAAAAAAUAGGGUUGAUCCAUGUGCUAAAAUUUUACAUUUAGUGUAGGCAAAAAUAAAAAAGAAUUCAAAUUAUAGAUUGUAUAUGAACAUAUCUUAUACACUCGGUGUACAACUUUUUUUACAUCGUAUAAAAUUUUAAUUUUGUUAUAUCGACUAUUAAAAAAUAGAGUUGGUCCAUGUGAUAAAAUUUUACACUUGAUGUAGGAAAAAAAUAAAAAUAAAAGGUGUUGAGCAAAAAAAAAUUUAAAAAAAGAGGUGUAGGGAGAGAGAGAGAGAGAGAGUGAGAGAGAGAGAAAAAAAAGGCAUAUUUUUCAAUAAUUAAUAUGACAAAAUUAAAAUUUCAUCUGAUAAAUACAAUCUAUAAUAUAAAAAAAUCUAGAUACGAAAAUUAAUAGAUUUGUAUCUCUAUAAUAAAACUUCAUAAAUAUUGUGUAAAAAAAAUUAUAGAUUCGGUUCGGUGUAUAAGACAUUCUUACACAUUCUUCAAUUUGACUUUGACUUGACAUAAAUAAAGUUUAGUUUUGAGCUCUCCUUGGAGCAUUGGUGGGGCCCACCCACUUUCUCCACUCCCCUCUCAACCAUUACCUUUUUCUUUCUUUCUUUUUUUGUUUGCAUCAUGUCUAAAAAUUCUUGCAUGAACAAAAAAAAUAAAUUUUUAAUAAUUUAUAUAAUAAACUAAAAUCUAACUUAAUAACUGCAAUCUAUAAUCUAUAAAAAGUGUAAAUACAAAAAUUACUGAAUUUUACUUUUAUAAUAAAAUUUUAUAAAUACAAUGUAAAAAAUUGGUUAUAUAUCUGGUUGAUUUAUUUUUUUAUAAAUAGACAGUUAUUGUGAAUCUUUUGUUUUUUGGUAGUACGCUAUUUUGUGUUCUCUUACUGUUUUAAUUAAGUAAUACUUUAUAGGUCCUAAUCAAAUCAUUAUUCUCAUCAAAUUUUUUUAAUUUAUUAAAAUUUAAUAAAAUUAUUAAUUUUUAGAUCUUUACAUGUCAAAUAUAUUCCUGUAAAAAAUAUACAGGUAGCAUUUUUCUUUUUAGAGAAAAACAGUGGUUCAUCUGUCCCAAUCCAUGACAAUCAUGAUGUUACCAAUACAGUGGAAAAAAUCAAACUACUUUAUGGUAGUAGGCAAUAUUUUACUUUGUUUUUUUUAAAAAAUAAAUUUAGAUGAAAAUGUGGUUCAAAAUUAGGAUUUCGGGUAUUAAUCAUCAAACUCUUUACAACUUGCAGUAUGAACGGUAGGUAAUAUUAGAAUAAAAAAUGGGCUAGUAUUUGAUUUAGUAAUUUAAAUUUAACAUCUUUUAGAUUCUUAUACUUAAAAGUAAAAUUAAAAUACUAUUAAUAGCAAAAGAAAAGUAUUUGCUACCUAUAUUAUAGUUUUUGAAUGCAUAGAGUUUAUUAUUUGGCACAAUAUAUGCUAUUAUAAAUUGAAGGACUACAAAGUUAAUAUUAAAUACUUUUAUAUACUAUCAAUAGUAUUAUAGAUAAACUCUUUUAUGCAUAGAAUUAAAAAAAGAAAAAAUCAAUUAUACCAUUCCAUUUGGCCCAAAUAUUUAUUUUUAUUUUGAUUUUAGACUUAAGAUUUUCUCAAUUAAAUUCUUAAGCUAUAUUAUUUGUUUCGAUUAAGUACCACUCAUCAAAAAGUUCAAUAAUUUUGAUAAAAUUUAUAGCAAAAUUGAUUUAGAAAUAAUGUGGCAAUUCUCGUCAGAUUUUAAUACAAGACUUUAUUGAAGGACCCAGGAGGCAUUGGUAACUUAAUUACAAAAUAUUUUACGAAAUCGAGAGUUAAAAUAAUAAGCUUACGAAUAGAGAGCGAUAUAAAGACACAGCAUUAUUAAUACUGAUUCAUUAAUAAUAUUUUAUAAAACGUGUUUCAAGCUUUUGCUACGCGCUCUGACUAGCUCCCUCCUUCCACUUAUUGGCAAGUCCCUGCAGCGACUUGUACGAGGACCCGCCCGGCGGCGCGAGCGCCCGCGACGCCGCCUCCUGCAGCUCCUUGGCGCGACGGUGCAGCGCCUUGCCCUUCUCCCCCUGCAUCAAUUCCUUCGCCGCCGCCGCGAUCUCCUCCCUGCCGACGACGCCGUAUGGCUCCCUCGCCUGCGGCUGUAUGGCGAUUCCGACCGCCUCGGCGAGCAGGAUGGCAUUCAAGCGCUGCUCGGCGUAGAGCGGGUGCGCGAUCAUCGGCACGCCGUGCACGGUGCUCUCCAGCGCCGAGUUCCAGCCGCAGUGCGAGAAGAAGCCGCCGGUCGCAGCAUGGGCCAGCACCCUGACCUGCGGCGCCCACGACGGCACCACGCGGCCCACGUCCUUUGUCCGUUCCAAGAAGCCCUCGGGAAGGUAAUUCGACGGAUCGUCCUUGUUUCCUAACAUCAUUUAUAAACAGUAAAAUGCGACAAAUCAAGUAUAGCAACUGAGUUCUCCAACCAACUUUGGCCUAUGAAAGAAAUAACUUACGCACUAAAUCGAUGUGCGAAGAAUUGUAAAAACUCUAUACUAAUAAAUCAAAAUUAUAUAUAUUAUAAUAUCGGCACAUCAUCAAAUUUUAUAGCAAAUAGCUUAGUACCUGAUGUGAAGAAGGCGGCGUUCUUUUCUUUGUCACUCGGACACCUGACAACCCAAAGGAAGCGCUGCCCGCUGGCCUCCAGCCCGAGUGCCAUCUCCUGCAUCUGCUCCGUCGAGAGGGAGCCGCCACUUCCGAAAGACACGAAUAAAACCGAGUCGGCCGGCUGCCGGUCCAGCCACUCCAGGCAGCCCGACUCGUCCGCCUCGUCCGAACCGGACCGGACCAUCGGACCCACCAGGUGGACCGGCGGCCUCCCUGCUUCCGCUUGCUCCUCCUCUCUGAUGGCUUUCAGCACCUCCUGCUCCAUCUCCUCGAAGCUGUUCACCAGGAUCCCCGCCGCGUCGCUGUAACUGCAAAACAAAUCGUUACUUUGACAACUCAAUUGUAUUCGAACUAAGAAUCUACUAUUUUAUUUAAAAUUAUCAAUUAUUUUAGAAACGUACGAUGUUUCUUACCUGCUCAUGAUCCGGAUGACCGGAGCGUAGGCGGGAUGUGACUUCUUGCGCAAGGGGUCGGGGAAGUCCGUCCCGCGUAUGGCGACGCAGCCGGGCAGGCGGACGGGGUCGGGGAGGUCUUCGAAGUCGACGUCGGUGGUCUCGUCGAGCCGGGGCAGGCGCAGCGCGAGGGUGAGCAUCGUAAGGUUGGAAGGGUAAAAUAUGUAGCCCGGCACUCCGAGCUCCCGCACCAGCGACAGCGUCACGGCCCCAAAAAGGUCACAGACGAAGGCGGCGGCGGGGUUUCGGAAGGAGAGGAAGGCGUCGCGGAGGAGGGGGAGGCAUCGAGCGGGGAGGGCGCAGAGGUGGGCUUCGAUCGGGGAGUCGGGGGGGAGGUCGGAGAGGGAGAUGGAGGGGAGGGAGACGGAGGUGACGGAGUCGGAGGGGAGGGAGGCGAGGAAGGCGGCCUGCGCUGGGGAGUCGAAGUUGGAGAAGGUGAGUAGGGUGGCGGAGAAGCCGUGGGCGGCGGUGAGCCGGACGGCGAAGUCCGCCAGCGGGAUCACAUGGCCCAUCCCCGGCGUCGGGAGCAAAACCACAUGCGGCCGCCGGCUCUCCUUCCCCUCGACAGCCAUAUAAUUAAUAUCGUAAUAUUUGUUUGGACUGUCGUGCAGUAUAAAACAGAGAUACAGAUAUAUUCGUGAGAAGGGAAGUCUGAGUUGUGUUGUGUUUGUAAAAUUUGUCAGGAAGCUUCUCAUGAAUUAAGGGAAAAAAAAGUGUGGGCCAUGUUCUCAGGUCGGUCGUCUUUGGCUCCAUGUGUUGUGGACGUGUUUGGUUAUGUCUUCCUUUCCAAUUUAAUAAGACAUAAAUAGAAUAUAGUAAAUUUUAACUUUUUUUAAUAGUUAUAGCAUUUUAGAAAGCAAUUUGUUACAUAAGUCAUAAAGUAACAAACACAGUACAUGAACUUGAUCAAAUUAUUAUUACGUACAAUAAUUAAUAGAUGCUAACCUAAUUAUUUAGAUAAGAUGCAUCUUAUAAUAAUAUAUAUUAAGCUUACUACCUAGAACAAAAUAUAAUUUGUAUGUACGCGUCACGUUUUUAUUAUUUCAUUUUAAACAAUUAUUGUAUGCGCAUAAUUGCUGACGAGUACUGCGUACAUCUUUUUAAUAUGUUGAUACAUCAAAAUAUUUCUCAUUCUAGUAACUCCCCUUCAACCAGUAUUGUCAAAAUACACUCCUGAACUUUUAAUUUCAGUUGCUAAAUUAACCAGUUUUAUUAAUCCUCCUCCUCCAAUAAAGUUAUUAAUUAAUUAAAUAAUGAUGCUGAUUGAUAAAUUAUCCUCAAAUUGCUAUAAUUACUUUCCUUUUGUACGCUUUGGGAACAAAUAAUAUCUUUAUAUAUGUAUACAAUUAAUGUGUACCUUAUUUAUGGGCACAUCGACAAUAUCAACAAUUUAUAUAUAUAAAAAAAAAUCUUUUAGACAUUCAAAAUAUUUUUCUAAAAAAAUAUUAAAAAAGAUGGAUUAAAUACCUUACAUCUGAUUUAGAUUUAUAACCUUCUAUCAUAAUAUGGUGGGCAUACAUGUUACUAAUUAAUUAGUAAUUACUCUGCCGAAUACAUUUUGAUCCUGUUCCAACUUUUGUUUUUAUCUUUCCUCUUUUUGUACUUGAUUAAUUACCUUAUAUUCCAAUAAUUACUUUUCUCCUCCCAUUUUGCUUAUGUUUUAUAUUGGGGUCUAAAAAUGAUUCUACUAGUUAUAUUAAGGUAUUAGAUGAACUUGAUCCAAUAACUAUUUUUAAAAGAAAUAAACGAAACAGUUAACAUACUACCUUACCCUCUCAAAAAAAAAAAAUUUGCUGUAAUAAUACCUUUCCGCCGUAUCGUACGGGCCGUUAACUAGUUUUCUAUAAUUUAACAACUACAACUCACGAGGAAAACGACAAGUGCAAAAUUAUAUAAAAAAAAAAAACUUAACAUUUAUUGAGGAUCUGUCUUUCAUUUAAAAAAAAAAUGUAAAAGAGACAAAUGAAAUCCUCAGCAAUCCAACUGGUACCGACCGUCCCUAGAGCAAGUGGCAAAAGACUUGGUGGUUGGUACCCGAAACUCAAAUUUGAAUCCUAGUUGAUUCAUAUUUCCAGCUAAGUUUAUUUCUAAAUAAAAUAAACGAAGCAGGUAGCGCGCUAUCUAUCUCUCAAAAAAAAAAUAAAUAAAAUCCGAGCAAGUGGUCAAACAAGCCAUUUUGGUGGGACAGCAAAUAUAUUUCAUGGACCGAAUCAAUAUGAUGAACUUCUAGAAACAACAUAAAGCAAUUAAUUUUUAAAUUUAGAAGUCAUUGAGUAGAGCUAGAAUACCCCCAAAAGCACCAAUAGGUUGGUGUUUUUGAGUUUUUAGCUUUUUGAUGGAGAGAUAUAGGGUUGAGAUGAUAGUGGUAGGUGGUACUACGUGGAAUAAUACUUGAUCCAAAGGGUAUUAGUAAUUGAAAAGCAUAUCCAAGGGAUAAAAACUUAGAAGCACCAAUAAGUUGGUGGUUCUAAAAGUAUUCUAGCUCUACUCGUCAUUGAGUAUCACUUUUUUUAACAGGCGUAUAUUCCAAUCUACACUAAUUUAGUUGACUAAAUAUUCACGCAUCGUUAAUGUAAAAAUAAUAUUGUAAUACUGUGAUUAUUGAUGCACCAAAAAUUAUAAUUUUACAUCACUUUUAUUUCAGUAGUAUAUUAAUAUUUAAUCAGAUAAAUUCGAGUGCGGGACUUGGCUACUUGCUUUGUACUUAGUCCCAUACCAUUUGUUUUUUUUUUUUUUUGGAAUGUUACUUCAUCCCCUCUUUUGAUGUUGACUAUUGUCAAUUUGGCUUAAAUUAGCAUGCCAUUACAUUAAUAAGAGAAUCUUAUUGAAGAAACAAUGGUCACAUAUGAUGCAAAUAUAGUCAAAACAAAAAAGCUUUUAUAUUCUUAGGAAAUUACUUAUAAAAUAUUCGAAUCACCAUCUAAAAAGAAAAGAAAAACUAACCACCCAUUUUCCUGGUCCAAAUGGCUUGACAUUUUCAAACAGAGUUUUCAAAUUUAUUUAUUUUAUAAAAAAUAAUUACGUGUAUUAAGUUGAUCUGAAAAACAAACUAUUCAUUGAGUAUACUAACAUUCAUGCGAAAUUAAUAUAAAUAACACGCGAAAUUAACAGGCAGUACGAUGCAUACUAAACAAACUAUUAAUAUAAAUGACCUGCGAAAUUAACAGAUAGUAUGAUGCAUACUAUGAAAAAAAUUAAUUAGACAAAAAAUUAUAAUUGAUAAAAAUAAUUAUUCACAAAAAUAUAGAUAUGAUACUUUGUUUACUUUUACGCAGCACAAGAAAAUAAAUAGAUAGACCUAAGUAAUAGAUAAACCUAGUUAUCCAAAAGCCGAUCAAGAGGUAGGGAAGUUCCAGUCCUCUAUAUAAAGUUAAAUUUGGGACUCAGUACGCUUGUAUGGGUUUAUUGUAUAACGGUGUGUUUGGUAAAAUCGAUCUACACUUCAGUAAAGCUAGAGUUCCGUCUGUAUGGUAGGAAAAAUUCUAGAAUGCAACGGGUAUAUUAGUGACGUGGCGUAACAAACUAAUCAAAUUAAUCCUUUUAAGAAUAUAUGUCCCAUCAUGAUUGUAAAAAAAUAUUUUUAUUGUACUUUUGUUUAAAAAGAAGGAAUGUGAUUGGCUUGUUAUUGAUGACGUGGUACAAGUGUGACAGUGUAGAAUUCCUCCCAAGAAAGGGUGUAGGCCCCAUGGAAGUCAAGCUCCGCCAUUUCGUCCGUGAGCCAACUUGUGGUUUUCUGAGACGAAUUCACACAUGCAGGCGGUGUAGGCCCCAUGGAAGUCGAGCUCUGCCGUUUCGUCCAAACAUAGGCGAAUUCCUGUUACAAGAAUUAUGUCACCUCCACCUCGAAUUCGAUCAAAACAAAUACGUUCUAAGUUAGUUUUUUUUUUUUUAAGAGAGAAAAACAACAUACUAUCCAUUUCGUUGAUUUCUUUUAAAAUAAAAAAUAAACUUAGCUGAAAAUAUAAAAUAAUUAGAUUUCGAAUUUAGAAUCUCAAGUAUCAAUCACUAAAUCUUUUGCCACUUGCACUAUGGCGGGGGGUCAUUACACUCUAAGUUGUUGAAAGAAUUGUUNUUACCCUAUCAGAAAUCAAAUUUGAUUUUAAAAAUAAUUGAAGUAUACUUAGCAUAUAGGAGUUUGUAUGUAGCACUGGACAAUUAAUUUCUGACAAAGUUAGAGUAAAAUUUAAACACACAAAAUAAAAUCAUAAUACUGUACUUAAUGAUGCAAAAUCCACUGGUGAUAUUUUUCCUCCUGUUUUGUCCAUUUACAAGAUUCUUGUACCCUUCAAUUUUGGUAUUUUCCUAUCUUAUCUUACCUUAUCAAUAUCAAUAUAUUAAAGGGACCGACUGUUCCUAGCGCAAGUAGCAAAGAGCUUGAUGAUUGAUAUUCGAGAUAUCAAGUUCGAAUCCUAGUUGAUUCACAUUUCCAUCUAAGUUUAUUUAUAAAUAAAAUAAAUAAAACGGAUAACAUUCUACCUAUCUCUAAAAAAAAAAAAAAAAAAAAGAUUAAAGGCGUACCAUUAGGGCUGGCAAAUGAGCGAGCCGCUCGCUUCGAGCUCACGCGUCGAACUCGAUAUUUGCCAUCGUGAGCUCGACUCCGAAAUUAAAAAUGAAGCUAGCUUGAACAAAAAAACAAAGCUCGAAAUACCAUUUCAAACCGACUUGAGUACUUACUCCGCUCGUUCGAAUUAGGCCCCCGAAAAGCUCGAAAUCAUAUAUAUAUAUAUAUAUAUAUAUAUAUAUAUAUAUAUAUAUAUAUAUAUAUAUAGUAGAGCUACUAUACUAUCGAAAGUAUAGAGAUCUGGUGCUCUCGAUUUUUUGAUUCUUAGAUCAAUCCCUUUAAUCGUUUUUUAUCUUUGGAUUAAUAUUAUUAUUACCUUAUAGGGACCACUCAAUCCUAAGAGUAUUAUUUAAUCCUAGGGAGACCGCAAUCAUCUCAACGAUACAAUUUUUAAUCAAAUGGUCAAAAAUUAAAAAACAUCAAAUCCUCUAUAUUUCGAUAGCAUAGUAGUUCUACACUAUAUAUAUAUAUAUAUAUACAUACAUAUACAUAUAUAUAUAUAUACAUAUAUAUAUAUAUACAUAUAUAUAUACAUAUAUAUAUAUACAUAUAUAUAUAUACAUACAUAUACAUAUAUAUAUAUAUAUAUACAUAUAUAUAUAUAUAUACAUAUAUACAUAUAUAUAUAUAUACAUAUAUAUAUUAAAAAAUAUAUAAAUAUAAUAUAUAUAUAUAUAUUAAAAUAUAUAUAAAUAUAAUAUAUUUUAAUUAUAUAUAGGUUGAGUGAAUAAUCUGAGUUUAGUUAAAAUUGGGCCAAUGUUGUUGGCCCAUAAAAACAAACCCAAUAGACAAAUAAAAAAGUAAAAUUUUACUAAAUUUAUAUAUUUUUCUUUUCUUUCUUUCUUUCUUUUCUUUACAGAGUUCUAAAUUUUCAAUAUUUUUCUUUCUCAUUUUCUGCCUCUCACCCUAAGUGGCCAAGCCGGAAGCUCUCUAAGUUACCAAGUAACAUCAUAUGCUCGCCGUUGCCUAUCUUACUAUUUAUUGUAUGCUUGAAAAAACAUAUAGAAUAUUUUUAAAGUAAAAAAAUUAUUAUUCAUAUAAAAUUUUAAUUUUAGUUAUAUAUGAUUGGGUAGUUUAAUCCAAUAUUUAUCUAUAAAAUUUAUUUAUUUUUGACUGUAUAAAUGAAAAUGAAUAAUAUAGAAAUUGAAGGCGGAAGAAAAGACAUGUGAGGCUGAAAAAAUUAGAUAUUCAACUCAUAAAUUAUUUUUUUUAAUAUUAUAAUACUAUAUUUCAUAUAAUUAUUUUGUACUUUGAACUAUUAGACAUAUUUUUGUAUCAAAUUAUAGAUAAUGUUCUAUAUAAAUUAAACUAUUGAUCGUAUAAUGUUCAGAAUUUCAAGCGGCUCGUUUAGGGCUCGAGCUCGCUCGACUUGAAAUUAGGCUCGCUCGAGCUCGACUCGAAUUAAUUUCAAUCCAAGCUUGAGCUUAAAUUUAGGCUCGAAAUUAAUUUCAAGCCGAAUUUGAGCCGAGGUAAGCUCGCUCGAGCUCGGCUCGUUUCCACCCCUACGUACCAUACAUGAAAGGAGAAUCCAAACCAUGUGUACAGCAGAGCCCUCCUCGCUCCUGUGGGGCCCACUCUUUUUUUUUUUUUUUUUCUCUCUCUCCCAUACUUCCUUCACCCUUUCUUUUUUUAUUUGUUUUUUUCUCUCAACAUUUUUUUUUUUAUUUUUGUCUAUAUCACGUGUAAAAUUUUAUUAUAUGAACUAACCUUAUUUUUUAAUAGUCGAUAUAACAAAAUUAAAAUUUCAUACGGUAUAAAAAAAAUUGUACACCAAGUGUAUAAAACAUGCUUAUAUACAAUUUAUAAUUUGAUUUUUUUUUUAUUUUUACCUAUAUCAAGUAUAAAAUUUUAGCGCAUACACCAAUUCUAUUUUUUAAUAGUCUCCUCAAGGAAAGCGGUGGGACCCACUUUUUUUCUCUCUCAUACUCUCUCUCUCUCACACCCUAUACCCCCCCCUCCUCCUCUUUUUUUCUCUCAACACCUUUUCUUUUUUGUUUUUUCCUACACAAGUUUAAAAUUUUAUCAUAUAGAUCAACCUUAUUUUNCUUAUUUUUUAAUAGUCGAUAUAACAAAAUUAAAAUUUCAUACGGUAUAAAAAAAAUUGUACACCAAGUGUAUAAAACAUGCUUAUAUACAAUUUCUCAACACCUUUUCUUUUUUGUUUUUUCCUACACAAGUUUAAAAUUUUAUCAUAUAGAUCAACCUUAUUUUUUAAUAAUUGAUAGUGUACAGCAACCACUUCAAAUAAAGAGGUGGGGCUCACUCCACUUUUUUUUUCUCUCUCUCACUCUCCCUCACUCUCUCACACAUUGUACACCGAGUGUAUAAGACGUGCACAUGUAUUGCAUAUGAUAAAGUUUAGCUUUCUAUCUAUCUAUAUCCAUACACCCUACACACACCCUACACCCUACACCCUACACCCUACACCUCUAUAAUCCUAUUUUUUAAUAUUCAAUAUAACAAAAUUAAAAUUUCAUACGGUGUAAAAAAGUUGUACACCGAAUUUAUAAGAUAUGCUCAUAUACACGUCUUUGACAGUAUCAAAGAGAACUUAUAUACUUUGGGUUAAAAUUUUUUUGUACGUAUAAAAAUGCAAGUAUCUAAUUUAAACAUACACAAUAAAUGAAAUAACUAGGAAAUAUAAUCUGAUCGAAUACUUUGUCAUAAUAAAAGUAGAUUAUACAUGUAUGAAAGUUGUGUGCACUCAGUAGUUGUACAGGAUAACAAAGAAGGACCCUCAUAUUUCUGGCAAAAAUACUUUAUUUUUUAAUAGUCGAAAUACAAAAUUAAAAUUUCAUACGAUGUAAAAAAAAUUGUACAACAAGUGUAGAAGACAUGCUCAUAUAUAAUCUAUAAUUUAAAAUUUUUUUAUUUUUGCCUACAAAAUUUUAUUGCAUGGACCAAUCUUAUUUUUUAAUAGUCUCCUCAAGCAAAGAGGGGGCACACUUUUUUUUCUCUCUCUCAUUCUCUCUCUCUCUCUCUCACCCUACACUGCUUAUUUUAUUUUAUUUUUUCUCUCAACACCUUUUUUUUUUAUUUUUUCCUGCUCCAAGUGUAAAAAAUAGGGCUGGUCCAUGCGCUAAAAUUUUACACUUGGUGUAGGCAAAAAUAAAAAAAAUUCAAAUUAUAAAUUAUAUAUGAGCAUGUCUUAUACACUCGUAUACAACUUGUUUUACACCUUGUAAACUUUUAAUUUUUGUUAUAUCGACUAUUAAAAAAUAGGGUUAGUCCAUGCGAUAAAGUUUUAUACUUGAUGUAGGAAAAAAAAUUUAAAAAAAGGUGUUGAGCGAAAAAAAUAAAAAAAAAAAAGGGUGCAGGGUGUGUGAAAGAGAGAGUGUGAGAGAGAGAAAAAAAAAACCUAUUUUUUAAUAAUUAAUAUAAUAAAAUUAAAAUUUCAUCUCAUAAGUAUAAUUUAUAAUAUAUAAAAAAUAUAGAUAGAAAAAUUAAUAGAUUUGUACCUCUAUAAUAAAACUUCAUAAAUAUUAUGUAAAAAAAAUUAAACAUUCGGUGUAUAAGACAUUGUUACACAUUAUUCAAUUUGACUUUAACUUAACAUCAAUAAAGUUUAGUUUUGAGCUCUCCUUCCUUGGAGCAUUGGUGGGGUCCGCCCACUUUCUCCACUCCCACUUUUUGGUAGUAGGUAAUAUUUUGCUUUGUUUUUUUAGAAAUAAAUUUAGCUGAAAAUGCGAUUCGAAAUUGGGACUUCGGAUAUUGAACACCAAACUCUUUACAACGUACGGUGGGAACGAUAGGUAAUAUUAGAAUAAAAAAUGGGCCAGUAUUUGAUUUAGUAAUUUAAAUUUAGGGAAAACUUCAAAAACCCCCCCUGUGGUUUCGUGCUUUCUCACUUUACUACCCUGUGGUUUAAAACGUAUCAAUUUGCCCCCCUGUGGUUUCGUUUUUCUCUUUUUGUUAUCAAUUUUAUUAUUAUUUUUUUCUUAAAUCAGUGACAAAGUUAAAAUUAAAGGAUACUAAAGUGAAUAUUCGAUAAAUAUAGAUGGUUAUCUGAAGUUUUUUGUAUAUAAUUUAACGAAAUGUUAACGAAAAAGCUUCCGAAAAGAUAAAAAUGAAACCACAGGGGGGCAAAUUGAUACGUUUUAAACCACAGGGUAGUAAAGUGAGAAUGCACGAAACUACAGGGGGGUUUUUGAAGUUUUCCCUUAAAUUUAACAUCUUUUAGAUUCUUAUACUUAAAAAAAAAAUUAAAAUACUAUUAAUAGCAAAAGAAAAAUAUGGCCAAAUUGCAUAAAAAAUCCACUAGUUUUGCGCUGUUGAAAAAGUGGGCCACUUUUUUCGAUUUUGCAGAUUCGGACCGAAUUUUCACCAAACUGACCAAAAUACCCUUAUUACUUUUUCCCUCUCCUCUUUUUUUCUCUCGUUCAUUUUUUUUUUCUCGUCGGUAGAGUGGAGGCGGAGCGGAGGCAGAAACGGCCCGUCUCGCCUCUCACCCUUAUGCUCUCGCCCUCGCCCUCGCCUGCGCACUCCCCACCUUCCUCGCCUCCGACCCCGCCGAGGCCGCACCGCGACUUUUUUUUUUUUUUCCUCUCCGACUCUCCUCCACCGUCUUCGGCGACGACGCCUCUCUCGCCCUUCCGCCUUUCUUGUCCUCUCUCUCUCCCUCCUACUCUGCUGCCUUCGACGACGACGCAUCUUCGCUGACGACGCAUCUUCGCCGACGCCGACACCGUUUAGGUCGCUACGGCGCCGCAACCUAGGGUGGGGGGUCCUUAGUGGCGUUGUCGCCGGCGCUGGCAGAGAGGGGUGACAAAAAAAAAAUAUAGAAGAAGCAAGAAAAAAAAAUAAAGAUAGAAAAUUAUAGAAAAAAAAAGAUGAAGAUUAAAUUGCACCGUUAAAAUAAAAUUACACUGUUUUAAAAGAACGUUGCAUUAUUAAGAUGUAAACUGCAGCUUUAAGAUUAAAUUAUACUCUUUAAACGAAAAUUGCACUCUUUAGGAGAUAUUUAUAUUGUUUCUCCUCUUAUUGCACUCUUUCAGAUGUAAACUGCAUCCAUUAAGAUAAAAGUUACACUCUUUAAACGAAAGUUGCACUCUUUGAGAGAUAUUUACACUAUUUCUCCUCUUAUUGCAUUGUUUCUCCUCUUGUUGCACUAUUUCUCUUAUUGUUUACACAGAAAUGGUGCAACAAGAGGAGAAACAGUGCAACAAGAAAAGAAAUAAUAUAAAUAUUUCUUAAAGGAAUGCAGUUUACAAAAGGAGAAACAGUGCAGCAAGAAGAGAAGAAAUAAUGUAAAUAUCUCUCAAAGAGUGCAACUUUCGUUUAAAGAGUAUAAUUUUUAUCUUAAUAGAUACAGUUACAUUUAAAAGAAUGCAAUAAGAGAAGAAACAGUGCAACAAGAGAAGAAACAGUGCAACAAGAGGAGAAACAGUAUAAAUAUCUCUUAAAGGGGUGCAGUUUACAUCUCAAAGGGUGCAAGAAGAGAAAAAAUAGUGUAAAUAUCUCUCAAAGAGUGCAACUUUCGUUUAAAGAGUGUAACUUUCAUCUUAAUGGAUGCAGUUUACAUCUGAAAGAGUGCAAUAAGAGGAGAAACAGUGUAAAUAUCUCUCAAAGAGUGUAAUUUUCGUUUAAAGAGUGUAACUUUCAUCUUAAUGGAUACAAUUUACAUCUGAAAGAGUGCAAUAAGAGGAGAAACAGUGUAAAUAUCUCCCAAAGAGUGUAAUUUUCGUUUAAAGAGAUAAAAAUUUAUCUUAAAGCUGCAGUUUACAUCUUAAAUAGUACAACUUAUGUUCAUAAUAGUGCAACGUUCUUUUAAAACAGUAUAAUUUUAUUUUAACGGUGCAAUUUCAUUUUCAUCUUUCUUUUUCUAUAAAUUUUUAUCUUUAUUUUUUUUUCUUGCUUCUAUCAUUUUUUUUUAUCACCCCUCUCUGCCAACGGCCACUGCGCCGGACACGACGCCGCUAAGAACCCCCCGCUCCGAGGCUGCAGCGCCGCAGCGACCUCCACGGUGUCGGUGUCGGCGAAAAUGCGUCAUCGUCGGAGGCGGCAGAGGAGGAAGGAGAGGGAGAGGACAAGAAGGGCGGGGAAGGGUGAGAGAGGCUUCAUUGUCGGAGACGGUAGAGGCGAGUCGAACAAGAAAAAAAAAAGAGUCGCGGCGCAGCCUCGGUGGGGUCGGAGGCGAGGAUGGUGGGGGGUGCGCGGACGAGGGCAAGGACGAGCUCGAGAGCAUGAGGGUGAAAGGCGAGGCGGGCCAUUUCCGCCUCCGCCUCUGCCUCCACUGCUUUCUUCGGUGAGAGAAAAAAAAAAUGAACGAGAGAAAAAAAGAUGAGAGAGAAAAAGGAGAGAGAAAAAGUAAUAAAGAUAUUUUAGUCAGUUUGCUGAAAAUUCGGACCGAAUCUGCAAAAACGAAAUAGAUGGCCCACUUGUACAAAAACCCAAAAUUAGUGAAUUUUUUUGUACAAAUUGGCCGAAAAAUACUAGCUACCUAUUAUUAUAGUUUUUGAAUACAUAGAGUUUAUUAUUUGGCGUGAUAUGUGCUAUUAUAAAUUGAAGGACUACAAAGUUAACAUUAAAUACUUAAUUUACUAUCAAUAGUAUUAUAGGUGAACUCUUUUAUGCAUAGAAUUAAAAAAAAAGAAAAAUUAAUUACACCAUUUGCCCCAAACAUUCAUUUUUUGUUUUGAUUUUAGACUUAAGAUUUUCUCAAUUAAAUUCUUAAGCUAUAUUAUUUGUUUCGAUUAAGUCCUGCUCAUCAAAAAGUUUAAUAAUUUUGAUAAAAUUUGUAGCAAAUAUGAUUUAGAAAUAAUGUGACAAUUCUCGUCAGAUUUUAAUACAAGACGUUAUUGAAAGACUCAAGAGGCAUUUGAAACUUAAUUACAAAAUAUUUUACAAAAUUGAGUGUCAAAAUAGAAAGCUUAUGAUAGAGAGCGAUAUAAAGACACCACAUUAAAUUACUAACUUGUGGACUAUAUUAAUAUUAAUUCAUCAAUAAUAUUUUAUAAAAUUCGUUUCAAGUACUUGCUACGCGCAGGCUCGCUCCCUCCUUCCACUUAUUGGCAACUCCCUGCAGCGCCUUGUAUGAGGACCCGUCCGGCGGUGCGAGCGCCCUCGCCGCCGCCUCCUGCAACUCCUUGGUGCGGCACCGCAGCGCCUUGCCCUUCUCCCCCUGCAUCAAUUCCUUCACCGCCGCCGCGAUCUCCUCCCUGCCGACGACACCGUAGGGGUCCCUUGACCGCGGCCGGAUGGCGAUUCCGACCGCCUCGGUGAGCAGGACGGCAUUCCAGUGCUGUUCGGCAUAGAGCGGGUGCGCAAUCAUCGGCACGCCAUGCACGGUGCUCUCCAGCGCCGAGUUCCAGCCGCAGUGUGAGAAGAAGCCGCCAGUCGCAGCAUGGGCCAGCACCUUGACCUGCGGCGCCCACGACGACACCACGCGGCCCACGUCCUUUGUCCGUUCCAAGAAGCCCUCCGGAAGGUAGUUCGAAGGAUCAUCCUUGCUUCCUAAUAUCAUUUAUAAACAGUAAAAAGCGAUAAAUCAAGUAUAGCAACCGAGUUCUCCAACCAACUUUGGCCUAUGAAAGAAAUAACUUUAAUACUAAAUCGAUGUGCGAAGAAAUAUAAAAACUCGAUACUAAUAAAUUAAAAUUAUAUAUAUUAUAAUAACAGCACAUCAUCAAAUUUUAUAACAAUAGCUCGGUACCUGAUGUGAAAAAGGCGGCGUUCUUUUCUUUGUCACUGGGACACCUGACAACCCAAAGGAAGCGCUGCCCGCUGGCCUCCAGCCCGAGUGCCAUCUCCUGCAUCUGCUCCGUCGAGAGGGAGCCGCCACUCCCGAAAGACACGAAUAAAACCGAAUCGGCCGGCUGCCGGUCCAGCCACUCCAGGCAGCCCGACUCGUCCGCCUCAUCCGAACCGGACCGGACCAUCGGACCCACCAGGUGGACCGGCGGCCUCCCUGCUUCCGCUUGCUCCUCCUCUCUGAUGGCUUUCAGCACCUCCUUCUCCAUCUCCUCGAAGCUGUUCACCAGGAUCCCGGCCGCGUCACUGUAACUGCAAAACAACUCGUUACUUUGACAAUUCAAUCGUAUUCGAACUCGGAAUCUACUAUUUUAUUUAAAAUUAUCAAAUUCUUUUAGAAACUUACGUUAUUAGAUAAGAUAACGAUAUUUCUUACCUGCUCAUGAUCCGGAUGAGCGGAGCGUACGCGGGGUGUGACUUCUUGCGCAAGGGGUCGGGGAAGUCCGUCCCGCGUAUGGCGACGCAGCCUGGCAGGCAGACGGGGUCGGGGAGGUCUUCGAAGUCGACGUCGGUGGUCUCGUCGAGCCGGGGCAGGUGCAGCGCGAGGGUGAGCAUCCUAAGAUUGGUAGGGUAAAAUAUGUAACCCGGCACACCGAGCUCCCGCACCAGCGACAGCGUCACGGACCCAAAAAGGUCGCAGACGAAGGCGGCGGCGGGGUUUCGGAAGGAGAGGAAGGCGUCGCGGAGGAGGGGGAGGCAUCGGGUGAGGAGCGCGCAGAGAUGGACUUCGAUCGGGGAGUCGGGGGGGAGGUCGGAGAGGGAGAUGGAGGGGAGGGAGACGGAGGUGACGGAGUCGGAGGGGAGGGAGGCGAGGAAGGCGGCCUGCGCCGGGGAGUUGAAGUUGGAGAAGGUGAGGAGGGUGGCGGAGAAGCUGUGGGCGGCAGCGAGCCGAACGGCGAAGUCCGCCAGCGGGAUCACGUGGCCCAUUCCCGGCGUCGGGAGCAGAACCACAUGAGGCCGCCGGCUCUCAUUCCCCUCGACAGCCAUAUAAUUAAUA